UGGUAUUUUCAUUCUCUCAUCUUCUAGGAUAUAUCCAAUGUUGGCGUCGUCCUUGUUGCAGCGCCGCUUCGUGUUCUUCCUCUCACAACUCUCCUUGUGGUUUCUCUCAAGAACACUCAUGAACACAGGGACACACNAAGAUUUGUUUCAACAAUCUCCUCUCAAAUCUUGUUAUUAUUUAUUCCUCUCUUGAAGCUCAUGGUCGUCGAUGUCGUCAGUGCAACACGGAGACGGCCGCCAUUGCCAUCUUGUCACGUCGAUUUCCAUCGUCGCCGUUUGCUUCGAUGAGAGCCACACCUCCUAUGCCUUCAUCACGAGUGUGCCAUGUGACACACUCGUUGUCUCAUAUUCGACAUCGGUGCCGCAACUCGCCGAUGACUCGUCUUCAUCCUCGCCACCGCUGCCACAACUCGCCGGUGACUCCUCUCCAUGUUGUCGACGAUGACACACCUUGUCGCCGACUCGCACAUGGACGAUGAACUCCUCAUGGCAAUGGCGUCCGCUCCAUGGCCAUCACCUCCUUGCCGCCGGUGACACAACUUACCGGCAGCAUACCGUUCUUCAUCACUCGUGACGCAGCUUGACGAUGAUGAAGACACACCAGCCGCUGGCAGCAUCACACCGUCAACGGCGUCCACCUUACGCCACCGACGUCCCCCUCACAUGGAGUCCGCCGCGUCGCCUCCACCGUGUCCACCAUGGCAACCGCAGCGCCGCGCACCUUCAUAGGCCGACACACGGUCCGGAGCUUCGCGCGGCCGCCGACGAACGCCGUCCUCACCGGCACGCCUCCGGCCUGACGAACGACGCCCAAGACAACCAAGCUCAUGAUACCAAGUGUUGGCGCCGCCCUCGUUGCAGCGCCGCUUCGUGUUCUUCCUCUCACAACUCUCCUUGUGGUUUCUCUCAAGAACACUCAUGAACACAGGGACACACACCAGGGAAGAAAACACACACACACACACGCACGAAGGAGAAAACUAGCUUUGCCUUAUCUCUCCCGGUGAAACACAAAAAAACUACAUAUGCCCUCACAGCCUCCUUUCAUUCAUUUACUCAACUUAAAUAGACAUUACAAGAGUAUCUCCGCUGCCAAUUAAUCCUAAACUCACGCCACGCCCACCAUGCACAGCCAGUCCAGUAACUAACUAAUGCAUGAGCUAACUCUACGGCCGUUUCUCCCGGCCACUAACCAACCCCACGACUAACAUUAGAAGUUUUGCAUAUGUUCACACUUGAACACGCCUAUACGUGUGUACCCAGCCGCAACUUCUAGUGUAAGACCGAACUCUAAAAUAAACAUGAUCUAAUCAACUACUUUAUGCACUAAUCACAAGAUUUGUUUCAACAUCCAACAUACUCCCUCCGUCUUAAAAUUCU
rnacentral:lncRNA from 1 species